UAAACCGCAAUAGAUCAAAAUCUCUGGAAUGAUUCUUGAUUCAAGUCUAUAUGGCCUCUGGAUUGGACUGCGGCCGAUCAGGCUGUUGGUGAGGUAAUGGCCCACCAAACCUGUAACCGGUACGGGCUCUGAGAGGAGAAGCCCGGAGAUGGGCACUGAGACAAGGGCCCAGGUCCUAUGGGGCGCAGCAGGCGCGAAACCUCUGCAAUAGGCGAAAGCUUGACAGGGUUACUCUGAGUGAUUUUCGCUAAGAAAAUCUUUUGGCACCUCUAAAAAUGGUGCAGAAUAAGGGGUGGGCAAGUCUGGUGUCAGCCGCCGCGGUAAUACCAGCACCCCGAGUGGUCGGACGAUUAUUGGGCCUAAAGCAUCCGUAGCCGGUCCCACAAGUCCUCCGUUAAAUCCAACUGCUUAACAGAUGGGCCGCGGAGGAUACUAUGGGGCUAGGAGGCAGGAGAGGCAAGCGGUACUCAGUGGGUAGGGGUAAAAUCCGUUGAUCCACUGAAGACCACCAGUGGCGAAGGCGGCUUGCCAGAAUGCGCUCGACGGUGAGGGAUGAAAGCUGGGGGAGCGAACCGGAUUAGAUACCCGGGUAGUCCCAGCCGUAAACGAUGCAGACUCGGUGAUGGACUGGCCUUGCGCUAGUCCAGUGCCGCAGGGAAGCCGUUAAGUCUGCCGCCUGGGUAGUACGGUCGCAAGACUGAAACUUAA
rnacentral:rRNA from 1 species